UGAGGAAUAUUGGGUCAAUGGGGCGAGAGCCUGAACCAGCCAAGUCGCGUGAAGGAUGAAGGUUCGAUGGAUUGUAAACUUCUUUUAUGGGGGAAUAAAGUGCGGGACGCGUCCCGUUUUGUAUGUACCUCAUGAAUAAGCAUCGGCUAACUCCGUGCCAGCAGCCGCGGUAAUACGGAGGAUGCGAGCGUUAUCCGGAUUCAUUGGGUUUAAAGGGUGCGUAGGUGGCCUUUUAAGUCAGCGGUGAAAGUUUGUGGCUCAACCCGGUGUCGCCGUUGAAACUGGCGUGCUCGAGUGCGUGCGAGGAAGGCGGAAUGCGUUGUGUAGCGGUGAAAUGCAUAGAUAUGACGCAGAACUCCGAUUGCGAAGGCAGCUUUCCAG
rnacentral:rRNA from 1 species